AGACCCACACACAAAGCAUAAAUCAUCACAGAUCCAAAGAUAAUAGAAGGUGGCAGUCCCUGCAGUCUGCUAAAUCAGGCUCCUGCUUCCUCAAUCCGUUUUGUAAUUGCGCAGAGUGCUGAUCGGGUUGUUUUGGGACGAAGAGAGGGAAAGAAGAGAGAGCUAAAUGAAAACAGACACAAUUGGAAAGAGGCUGUGUACACUACAGUCAUAUCAGCCUAAACUAAAGACUGAAGCAUCACCCAGGUGGGUGCUACACAGUCAGCAAUGGUGUAUCAGCUACUUACGGUGGAGAGGCUACUAUGGAGGAACUGGGAACGUCGGACAAAGUGAUGGGCUCUGAUGAAGAUCUUCUGGCUUGUCUGACAGACGGACUUUCUCCCUGGCUGUACCGUACCAUCGAUCCGCCCUCCUCUCAAGCAAUACUGAAUUUUACAAACUGACUCAACUCCAUCCCUUUUCCAUCUUUAAGUUGUGGUUCAUUGAUGAAUAAUGUAUUUUGGUAAAAAGAGGACCACAAUGGAACUACGUUUCUACACUUUUUUAAAUUUUCCUUCAUUAUAAAUGCAUUGUAUCUACGUGUUUAAAAAAAAAGAAUCAGGAAAUAGGAGUGGUACGGCAGGUAGCCUUGAGGUUAGAGAGGCACCCCGAUGGUGCAUCCUACCAGCUCUCACAGUAUCACGUCAGAAUUAGACUUUAAUCCAUGUUUCUCAAACAUCAAAUUUUGAAUUUGUUCCAAAUGUAAACAUUUUAUGUGUUUAAGAUUAAGUUUCAGCAUUAACUCUGAAUUUUUAAGGUUAGGGUUAAGUUCCGGCAUUAACUCAAAAUUCUUACGUUUAGGCAUUAACUCCGAAUGGCUAAGCUAAGGGUUAAGGUUUGGGAUAGGCUUAAAACUAAAAAAACUUUCUAUCACUAGAUUUGAAAUUGCAACCUUUAGAAUCAGAGGCAGAUGCUUACGCUCAUCUGCCAUCCACAUCCAUCCAGCAAAACCAAAACCUACUUCAAGAUAACAGAGCUCACUGUUGCCCAUAGUGCUGGUUUCCACUUCAUCUCCUGACGUCAUAGAUGGACGUCGAAUACUGACGUAUACUGACUUAUAUCUUAUAUACUGAUGAAUAUCACGGGUGACCUGGCUGGGUGCAUCACUCUAUACAAUGAGGAGUGAAAAGCUUGGGUCAAGUCAAUAAUUCUGCUAUUAGCAUAAAUUGGAUGUGGAUGUGAGGGACUCAAUUUGAUCAUACUCUGGGUUGGGGGACGUAGAUUACAAAUUGGAGGAAGUGAAAAAAAAAUGUAGGCACGUGCUCUCUCUCUCUUUGUGUAUGUUAUCUUUUUAUACCCAGGACAUCAUUUGAUUCAUCUCCUCUAAACUAAAUCCUGGCUGUUGAGAGUCUGAGACUUCCAGAAUUAGGAAUCCUUCAUCCCUAUUGAAAGCUGGGAUAAAGAGACACAAGGGGUUGGAGUUGGAGUGGGGUUUGCUCACACCCCUUGGUAGGCCUGCUGGAUGCAAAGACAAUUAGUGUUCUGAGUUAUGGGCACUUCUCUCCCUCUCUCUAGGGAGAGGAGACAAACUGCACUAAGAUAACGUGGGCUGUGCUGUCUUCUGCUAAUCCUCCUAAACUAGGCCAGAAACCCUCUUCCAGGAAUGCAGAGGUAUUGUGAGGAGGAAUUGCUAGGAACUUUUGUUGUUUCUCUGUUCACUUGACUACCCAAAGAAUCUUGGUCUGUAGUGUAGUGCAUUCAGGGUGGCAAGGAGUUGGAGUUUCAUAUGCACAGGCACUACUGUAAACAGUGCUGGUAAGAUAAGAACAUGUUAUUUUCACCUGUAUUGCAAUAGGUUACUUGUUAUUUCAUACAACGGGUGGGUCUAACCGUGGAUACUGAUUGGUUAAAACCGGUGACUAUUCCAGAAGUUACCACCGGCUAAAUCUAUGAUCCAUCCUUCUGUGCAAUCCAUUGUCUCAUCAGCUCAGCCAGGCAAUUUAUAAACUUGAUCUCCACUGUAAAAAGCAUCUGGACAUUAUCUCCCAUUUCCUUUAGACUAGCAAUUGGUUUUCAACAGCAAAGAUUUGCAACAUAAUUUCAAUAUUGAAAUUCGAUCUCCAGCUGUCCCAUAGUAAUGAAUCAUGAAUCAACAUAAUUUUUAUGUAUAUACUGUAUACAAAGAAAUGUCAAUAGGAAAACACUAAAUGUAGCUAGUUUGCUGUCAUUCCAGCUUCAGUUUGAAGUGAUUGUGUUAGCUGUGUAGUUGGCAAGCUCUUCUGAACAGUGUACUGUCUAGAGAGUACAUUUUUUUAUGCCAGGUGAAAUCGCGCAUCAUUAGGUCAUUGUUAAGGAUGUUUGAUAUGACCGUGUUAGCUGAACUUGGCUAGCUACCAAACAAGAGAUAAGAAUGUUGCCAGAACGACUGGGUCGCGUCCAUAGAUCUAAAUCAAAAGACUUAAUGACUAGGUUGCAUAUCUGGCAACCAAACCCGUAGAACAAACAACCAGCCGGCUUGGGUAGCAACCCUAGAUUUGUUUUGGGACUAGAUCUCUAAGAAGGAUGAAAUAGUAUGAAUAAACUCAUCAAAAUAUAAUUUUUUUAAUAUGUUGGUAACCCGUUGUAUAAAAGUGAUAAUGCUCAAGAAGCCGGUAUUUGGAGGAUAUAUUGGCGCGGUUUGCCGGUCCUCGACUUCGUUUUGGGCCUAACAACACCCAUGCCAAUAUAUCUUCCAAACCACCAGCUUCUCGGGCAUUAUCACUUAUUUGUAGUCAACCAGUACAUGACAAUAAAUACCUUCAUUAUGCUUUUCAUGUAAAUAGCAAAGCUAUAGAAUUAUAGAAAGUUACAUAAAUAUAUUACUAUCUUCAAUUUUCCCUGCAUUCUGCUAAAUCAAAAGAGGUUCUCAUUCAUCAUUAGUUAAAUUAAUUGAAUGUAGCAAAUGUGCAAAACAAUUAUAAAUAGGUGUUGUGAGAGCUUCACCACAUUAAAUCAACUGAAUGGCCCUAAAUGCACUUACUGAACGGAACAAUGCGAAACAUACUGCACUUUUUAUAAACAAGUGAAAAGAGUUAUCUAGACCCCCAAACUUUCAAAUUACAUACCAAAAACAUUUGUCUUUUGUUCUGGGGACAGUAGAUGCUGAUUAAUGUGAAUCGAGUCAAAUGACAUUUGAGAGACGAGACAACGUGGGCAUUGGGCUUAAAUUUGAAGAGUUCACGCAUGGUUGAGAAUGACCUGAUAGCCUACCGAUGCUGGAGAGAUGCUUAUGAGUGGCGAUUAUGUUGUUUUUUAAUUAUAGACCAGACUUAAUUCAAAUGUCUCUGUGACAUUUCUCAGCACCUCGUAAUCGCAUCAAUUAAAGAGUGAGUCUCACGCUGUAAUCCAUGCUGAAGCUCUCCUCUAACAGCUCUGUCUGACUGUCCGUUCUAUGGAAAGGCUAUUGAAAAUAUGCUGUAUAUUCACUAUAUGCUAUAUAAUAAUGUAAUCAAUAAUGCUAUAUGAAAUAACGAGGGGCAGUCUGGGAAGAAAAAAAUAAUCACUUUUUGAUAAAGAAUAUGUAUGUACGUGCUGCAACUUCUCAGUGUCCGACAAAUUUAAGUACUGAAAUCUGAUCCAGAAUUGAAAGUUAAUCCUUGAAUCAGUGGAUGCUUACUUGAGUCAUGUUACCAACUUUUGCAAUGCCUUUGUAUGCUGACUUUAAGUGCUGAGUGCCUACCAAUUUUUCUCCACGUUUUCUCAGAAUCCUCCAGUAGUUUUAUAAGUGGAGCUGCCCAAUGAUGUAAUGGUAAAAAACGUAUGUGCUAAACUCUGA